CCUACGGGAGACAGCAGUGGGGAAUAUUGGGCAAUGGGCGGGAGCCUGAACCAGCGAAGCCGCGUGAGGGAAGAAGGUACAGCGUAUCGUAAACCUCUUUUGUCAGGGAACACAGGCGGGGACUAGUCCCCGGAUGAGGGUACCUGAAGAAAAAGCAUCGGCUAACUCCGUGCCACCAGCCGCGGUAAUACGGGGGGUGCGAGCGUUAUCCGGAUUUGUUGGGGUGAGGGGGUGCGCGGGCGGCCUGUUAAGUCAGCGGUAAAAUCCCGGGGCUCAACCCCGGAGAGCCGUUGAAACUGGCGGGCUGGAGUGGGAGAGAAGUACGUGGAAUGCGCGGUGUAGCGGUGAAAUGCUUAGAUAUCGGGCAGAACCUCGAUGGCGAAGGCAGCGUACCGGCUCCACACUGACGCUGAGGCACGAAAGCGUGGGUAUCGAACAGGAUUAGAUACCCUAGUAGUC
rnacentral:rRNA from 1 species